rnacentral:rRNA from 1 species
GAUGAACGCUGGCGGCGUGCCUAACACAUGCAAGUCGAACGCACAUACGCUGCGCUUGUUCCUUUGAGGUUAGCGGAUGGCGGGUGAGUCACGCGUGGAUCACCUACCUCUCUUUCGGGGAUCACUUCGAAACGCCGGUUAUUAUACCAUAUCAUAUGUUCUACGGCUGGGUGCAGUGGUAAAUGGCGGUUUUGCUGGUUGUUGUAGACGCUGCCGCGCCGCAUUAGCUAGUUGGUAAGGUCAAGGCGUACCAAGGCAACGAUGCGUAGCCGACCUGAGAGGGUGAUCAGCCACACUGGAACUGAGACACGGUCCAGACUCCUACGGGAGGCAGCAGUGGGGAAUCUUGGACAAUGGGCGAAAGCCUGACGGAGCAAUGCCGCGUGGGUGAGGAAGGUCUUCGGAUCGUAAAACUCUGUUAUUAGGGAAGAAAAGAUGUAUAAGUAACUAUGGAUGUCUUGACGGUACCUAAUCAAAAAGCACCGGCUAACUACGUG